rnacentral:rRNA from 1 species
GGUCAAGUUAUUAAGGGUGCAGGGCGGAUGCCUUGGCACCAGGAGCCGAUGAAGGACGUGAUAAGCUGCGAUAAGCUUCGGGGAGUUGCACGUGAACUUUGAUCCGAAGUUUUACGAAUGAGGCAAAUCACUUAGAGUAAUGUCUACGUAUCAUCAAGUAAAUACAUAGCUUAAUGCGGGGAACUCAGGGAACUGAAACAUCUAAGUACCUGAAGGUUGAUGAAGAAAAUGGAGUCCGUAAGUAGCGGCCAGCGCAGCCGGAUAAGACCAAACAAAUAACGUUUUCUUUUUGGGGGUCGAGG